AGUGAACGCUGGCGGUAGGCCUAACACAUGCAAGUCGAACGGCAGCACAGUAAGAGCUUGCUCUUACAGGUGGCGAGUGGCGGACGGGUGAGGAAUACAUCGGAAUCUACUUUUUCGUGGGGGAUAACGUAGGGAAACUUACGCUAAUACCGCAUACGACCUACGGGUGAAAGCAGGGGAUCUUCGGACCUUGCGCAAUUGAAUGAGCCGAUGUCGGAUUAGCUAGUUGGCGGGGUAAAGGCCCACCAAGGCGACGAUCCGUAGCUGGUCUGAGAGGAUGAUCAGCCACACUGGAACUGAGACACGGUCCAGACUCCUACGGGAGGCAGCAGUGGGGAAUAUUGGACAAUGGGCGCAAGCCUGAUCCAGCCAUACCGCGUGGGUGAAGAAGGCCUUCGGGUUGUAAAGCCCUUUUGUUGGGAAAGAAAAGCAGCAGGUUAAUACCCCGCUGUUCUGACGGUACCCAAAGAAUAAGCACCGGCUAACUUCGUG
rnacentral:rRNA from 1 species